rnacentral:rRNA from 1 species
CGCAAGCCUGACGGAGCAAGACCGCGUGGGGGAGGAAAGCCUUUGGGUUGUAAACCCCUUUUCUCAGGGAAGAAGAAAGUGACGGUACCUGAGGAAUCAGCCUCGGCUAACUCCGUGCCAGCAGCCGCGGUAAUACGGAGGAGGCAAGCGUUAUCCGGAAUGAUUGGGCGUAAAGCGUCCGCAGGUGGCAAUGUAAGUCUGCUGUCAAAACCCAGGGCUCAACUCUGGUCAGGCAGUGGAAACUACAUAGCUAGAGUUCGGUAGGGGCAAAGGGAAUUCCCGGUGUAGCGGUGAAAUGCGUAGAGAUCGGGAAGAACAUCGGUGGCGAAAGCGCUUUGCUAGACCGAAACUGACACUCAGGGACGAAAGCUAGGGGAGCG